CCUACGGGUGGCAGCAGUGAGGAAUAUUGGUCAAUGGGCGCGAGCCUGAACCAGCCAAGUCGCGUUCAGGAUGACUGCCCUAUGGGUUGUACACUUCUUUUAUACAUGAAUAAAGUUAAGCACGUGUCCCUUUUUGUAUGUACUUUAUGCAUAAGGCUCGGCUAACUCCGUGCCAGCAGCCGCGGUAAUACGGAGGAUCCGAGCGUUAUCCGGAUUUAUUGGGUGUAAAGGGCGCGUAGAUGGGUUGUUAAGUCAGUUGUGAAAGUUUGCGGCUAAACCGUAAAAUUGCAAUUGAUACUGGCAGUCUUGAGUACAGUUGAGGUAGGCGGAAUUCGUGGUGUAGCGGUGAAAUGCUUAGAUAUCACAAAGAACUCCGAUUGCGAAGGCAGCUUACUAAACUGCCACUGACAUUGAUGCUCGAAAGUGUGGGUAUCAAACAGGAUUAGAUACCCUGGUAGUC
rnacentral:rRNA from 1 species